CACUGAAGAGGGGAGCCCCUGGGACAGAAAGUGACCUGAGUGGGAUCCAGAAGCUGAAGGAACUGAAUGAUCAAAGAAGGGGUAGAUUGAUUUCUACAACGGAGGAGAGAGGAUAGGUCAGUGAAGACAGGAAGCAUCACUGGAUCCUUCGGCAUAGAGGAACCCUUGAGUGUGUGUCUUCUUUCUGUUUGCCUCCUCCUCUCUGCAUCUGUCUGAGGUUGAGCUGCCUAGAUUCCUGCAGAACCAAGGUCACGGGAAAGGUCUUGAGGCUCACAGGGUCAGAGCUGCACACCUCCUUGGAAGACACCAGGAUUUGCUCUCAUUCCACAGAUGACCCAAGAGCUCCUAGACUUGUCUAGAAGACACGUGGAGAACCAGAAUGACAAGGCCUGCUCCUGUGUAUGUGUCCUAAAGGCACUUCCUGUCUGGACUAGUGCAGGAGAUCAGAGUCUCAAAUUCAAGAGCAAGAUAAAUAACCUAUAGAGGGGGAACUUCUUGGAUGAGGUCAACAAGCACCCACAAUUCCUUCAAAGGACAAUGAUCAUGGUUUGGACGGUCAUGACUUUUUGUGGAACAGCAGAGCAGGGAAAGAGUAUGCUUUCUGCUAAAAUCGGCAACAUCAUCUCCUCUGGGAACUCUUAAGAAGCCUGUUACCUGACCUCUUCACAGCCGCACAAACCCAGUCGCCAAUAUUUGCAUACUUUCUCCAAGGACGCAGUUCCCCCGGGACAGUUCAUAAAUCCACAUCUUGGGAAAUGUUCAUAGGAUGCUACAAACUAAACAGGGCUUUGUUAAAUAAAGCUGGGGUGUACUGAUGGCAUCAGUCUGCUUCUUUCUAGAGAAGUGUUUCUUGACCUGUCGGUUGCAACUGCUUUGGUUGAAAGACCCUUUCACAGAGGUCACCUGAGACCAUUGGAAAACACAGAUAUUAACAGUAGCAAAAUUAUAGUUAUGAUGUAGCAAUGAGAAUAAUUUUAUGGUUAGGGGUCAGCACAACAUAAGGAAGUGUAUUAAAGAGUCUUAGAAUAAGGGAAACUGAGCAGGAGUGGAUCUUGGGCAGAGAAAAGCGCUCGCCCUCUCUCUCUCUCUCUCUCUCUCUCUCUCUCUCUCUCUCUCUCUCGUGUGUGUGUGUGUG
rnacentral:sRNA from 1 species